CCCUGCGUGGAAAAAUAAAAAAGCGUGACAAGGUUUCGGUAGGUGAACCUGCGGAAGGAUCAUUAAUUAUCUUAAAGCGCCCUACCUCUUAGGGUUUCCUCUGGGGUAAGUGAAAGAUAAUACAGGAAGAAAACUGGGUUGAGAGAGUCAUAUUGGUCAGGGGUAGACGUAUUUGGGGUUUGAUUGAUGCCACUCCUGGUUUCAGGAGCACCCUUCAUAAUAAACCUAGAAAUUCAGUAUUAUAAAGUUUAAUAAAAAACAACUUUUAACAAUGGAUCUCUUGGUUCUGGCAUCGAUGAAGAAUGUAGCAAAGUGCGAUAUUCAGUGUGAAUUGCAUAUUCAGUGAAUCAUCGAGUCUUUGAACGCAGCUUGCACUCUAUGGUUUUUCUAUAGAGUACGCUUGCAACAGUAUCAUCACAAACCCACACAUAACAUUGGUUUAGGUGGUAAGGGGUCGCAUCGCUGUUUUAUUACAGUGAUCACAUAAAAAGUGGGUGAUUUUCUGUCUGGCUUGCUAGGCAGGAAUAUUAUGCGGGUCUCAGGAUCUAUUUAUUUGGGGGCCCAGGAAGUAAAGUACAAGAGUAUAAUCCAGCAACUUCAAAUUAGGAUCGAAGUCUGGAGGUCCCUAUUCCAUGCGA
rnacentral:rRNA from 1 species